rnacentral:rRNA from 1 species
UACGGAGGGUGCGAGCGUUGUCCGGAAUCAUUGGGCGUAAAGGGCGCGUAGGUGGCCCCUCAAGCGUGCGGUGAAAGUCAGGGGCUCAACCCCUGAUCGGCCGUGCGAACUGGGGAGCUUGAGCACUGUAGAGGCAGGCGGAAUUCCGGGUGUAGCGGUGGAAUGCGUAGAGAUCCGGAGGAAGACCGGUGCGAGGACGGCCGG